AUUGAACGCUGGCGGCAUGCCUUACACAUGCAAGUCGAACGGUAACAGGUCCUCGGAUGCUGACGAGUGGCGAACGGGUGAGUAAUACAUCGGAACGUGCCCGAGAGUGGGGGAUAACGAAGCGAAAGCUUUGCUAAUACCGCAUACGAUCUCAGGAUGAAAGCAGGGGACCGCAAGGCCUUGCGCUCACGGAGCGGCCGAUGGCAGAUGAGGUAGUUGGUGGGAUAAAAGCUUACCAAGCCGACGAUCUGUAGCUGGUCUGAGAGGACGACCAGCCAACCGGGGACUGAGACCCGGCCGAGACCCCUACGGGAGGCAGCAGGGGGGAAUUUUGGACAAUGGGCGCAAGCCUGUUCCAGCCAUGCCGCGUGCAGGAUGAAGGCCUUCGGGUUGUAAACUGCUUUUGUACGGAACGAAAAGACUCUGGUUAAUACCUGGGGUCCAUGACGGUACCGUAAGAAUAAGCACCGGCUAACUACGUGCCAGCAGCCGCCGUAAUAC
rnacentral:rRNA from 1 species